GAACCUGCNCCCUGAGUAUAGACAAGAUUUUGUUAACAGGAUGAUGACCUGGCCUUGGUGAAGAAUGUGUAAAAUGCNUAGGCUACAUGCAGGUCAGAGUUCAGUUCUGUUUGGCUCAGAGAAAGUGCAGCUUUUUCUAGAUGUUCCGAGAAAAAAGAGCGCUCAAGUCCCUUCCUGGAUGCUGCUGCUUACAGUUAUAAACCUUUCAGCAAACAGCUGUUCUAAGAAGGCACCAAGAGAGACGUUUAAUUCUGUUCUUGACACGCAGCAGCUCUUUUCGGCGACUAAAGACAUAUAGAUCAAACAAACAGAUCAGAUUUUGCUGUUGGCGUGAAAAAAGGCUUCACGCCAACGCUUCCAGCUUUUCGUGCUAUUGCCACAAAAAAGGACCCCUUUUGUGUGUGGAGAGUCAUGCUUGGGCCAUAAUGAAUUGUAAUUCAGAAAACGACGCUGCUGAGACUCAGAAUCAGAAUUGGAGGUCAGCGGGAAGGGAAGGUUAGUAAGAAGCUCCUAGGGUUACCGGGGGUGGGGGUAGGGCUUUCCUUGGGGUUGGACAUUAUCAGCAGCACGGCGAAGAAGGAAACAGACAGGUGGGGGCAGAACGCGCGCGGCCGGCGGGCCGGGCUGACUACUCAGCAAAGCGAGAUACACUGCGAACGACCCCACCGCACCGGCUCAUACCAGGCUUUUGUCUUUCCUCUCAGGGCCUACUGUUAUGGCGGGGCGGUGUCAAGGAGGAGAAAGAGCACACUUUGGGUAAUCAGUCCUAAAAGAUGGAGGAUAUCCAACAGCAUGGCAUCGUGCCCAUCUGCAAGAUCAAAGAGCUGUGGGAAGCUGCUUGAGGCUACUGAAUGGGCUUUCAUAGAGCUAAAUCCAUACUCUGUCCUCCCUGCAAGAAUAGGUAGGAAAAUGUUACUAGUUGGACACCUGCAUGGGAGCUUUCCAUGAAGGAAGCACUCUCUGUAACUUUUGUUUUCAUUUUGGCUUGCUCCUUCAAACUGUGGGAGAUUUUGAUAGGAUUAAUCAAUAAAAAGUAUGUUCAUGUUGUAAAGGAAAAAUAA
rnacentral:lncRNA from 1 species